UAGGGAAUCUUCGGCAAUGGACGAAAGUCUGACCGAGCAACGCCGCGUGAGUGAAGAAGGUUUUCGGAUCGUAAAACUCUGUUGUUAGAGAAGAACAAGGACGUUAGUAACUGAACGUCCCCUGACGGUAUCUAACCAGAAAGCCACGGCUAACUACGUGCCAGCAGCCGCGGUAAUACGUAGGUGGCAAGCGUUGUCCGGAUUUAUUGGGCGUAAAGCGAGCGCAGGCGGUUUCUUAAGUCUGAUGUGAAAGCCCCCGGCUCAACCGGGGAGGGUCAUUGGAAACUGGGGGACUUGAGUGCAGAAGAGGAGAGUGGAAUUCCAGGGGUAGCGGUGAAAUGCGUAGAUAUAUGGGGGAACACCAGUGGCGAAGGCGGCUCUCUGGUCUGUAACUGACGCUGAGGCUCGAAAGCGUGGGGAGCAAACAGG
rnacentral:rRNA from 1 species